CGGUAGGUUGUAAACUCCGCCCGUUCACCGUAUCUUACCUUUUAAUUUGACUAUGUAGACAACAGCGAGUGGGAGUUCCAGAAGUAUGGUCACUAGACAGUUCUCUUCGUGGAGCAAAGCGGCUUCAAGUUUCUCGUACCUAGACAGUUCUCUUCGGGGAGCAAGGCGGCUUCAAGUUUCUCGUACCUAAGUAUUAGCGCUAGUGAUAACUAAUGGAUAACAAUGAAUUGUUGAUGUUUCAGAAGCUUGUAUUUCGGUAGAAGCCGUAUCAUGCUGGUGGUGACU
rnacentral:lncRNA from 1 species